AACGUAGGCGGCAAGCGUUAUCCGGAAUUACUGGGCGUAAAGGGUGUGCAGGCGGGGUUGCAAGUGGUGUAUGAAAUAUCCCAGCUUAACUGGGAGGGGUUAUGCCAGACUGCAACUCUAGAGGACGAGAGAGGGGGGUGGAAUUCCGGGUGUAGUGGUGAAAUGCGUAGAGAUGUGGAGGAAUACCGAUGGCGAAGGCAGCCCCCUGGGCCAAUACUGACGCUCAUGCACGAAAGCGUGGGGAGCAAACAGG
rnacentral:rRNA from 1 species